UGUUAAGGAACUCGGCAAAUUACCCCCGUAACUUCGGGAGAAGGGGGGCCACAGACCGUGAAACCCCAUGCGGGUGGCAGCGGUAGGUGGCCGCAGAGACCAGGGGGAAGCGACUGUUUACUAAAAACACAGGUCCGUGCGAAGUCGUAAGACGAUGUAUACGGACUGACGCCUGCCCGGUGCUGGAACGUUAAGGGGACCGGUUAGUCCGCAAGGGCGAAGCUGAGAACUUAAGCGCCAGUAAACGGCGGUGGUAACUAUAACCAUCCUAAGGUAGCGAAAUUCCUUGUCGGGUAAGUUCCGACCUGCACGAAUGGCGUAACGACUUCCCUACUGUCUCAACCACAGGCCCGGCGAAAUUGCACUACGAGUAAAGAUGCUCGUUACGCGCGGAAGGACGGAAAGACCCAGGGACCUUCACUAUAGCUUGACAUUGGUACUCGAAUUGAAUUGUGUAGGAUAGGUGGGAGACUAUGAAGCUCGGACGCCAGUCCGGGUGGAGUCAACUUUGAAAUACCACUCUGUUGAAUUUGGGUAUCUAACUUCGGACCGUGAUCCGGUUCAGGGACAGUGUCUGGUGGGUAGUUUAACUGGGGCGGUUGCCUCCUAAAAUGUAACGGAGGCGCCCAAAGGUUCCCUCAGCCUGGUUGGCAAUCAGGUGUUGAGUGCAAGUGCACAAGGGAGCUUGACUGUGAGACUGACAGGUCGAGCAGGGACGAAAGUCGGGACUAGUGAUCCGGCACCGGCGAGUGGAAGCGGUGUCGCUCAACGGAUAAAAGGUACCCCGGGGAUAACAGGCUGAUCUUCCCCAAGAGUCCAUAUCGACGGGAUGGUUUGGCACCUCGAUGUCGGCUCGUCGCAUCCUGGGGCUGGAGUAGGUCCCAAGGGUUGGGCUGUUCGCCCAUUAAAGCGGCACGCGAGCUGGGUUUAGAACGUCGUGAGACAGUUCGGUCCCUAUCCUCCGCGCGCGCAGGAGACUUGAGAAGAGCUGUCCCUAGUACGAGGGGACCGGGACGGACGAACCUCUGGUGUGCCAGUUGUCAUGCCAAUGGCACGGCUGGUUAGCUACGUUCGGAAGGGAUAACCGCUGAAAGCAUCUAAGCGGGAAGCCUGCUUCAAGAUGAGGUCUCCCACCCCCUCGAGGGUUAAGGCCCCCAGCAAGACCACUGGGUUGAUAGGCCAGAAGUGUAAGCCUGGUAACAGGUUCAGCCGACUGGUACUAAUAGGCCGAGGACUUCACCG
rnacentral:rRNA from 1 species